rnacentral:rRNA from 1 species
GAUGAACGCUGGCGGCGUGCCUAAUACAUGCAAGUCGAGCGAAGCGGGGACGGGUGAGUAACACGUGGAAAACCUCCUAUAAGACGGGGAUAACUUUGGGAACGCGUAGCAAAACGGGAUACUUACAGAUGGAGCCGCGUUGCAGUAGCUAGUUGGUAAGGUAAUGGCUUACCAAGGCUACGAUGCAUAGCUGACCUGAGAGUGUGAUCGGACACACUGGAACUGAGACACGGUCCAGACUCCUACGGUAGGCAGCAGUAGGUAAUAUUCCGCAAGGGGCGAAAGCCUGACGGAGCAAAGCCGCGUGAGUGAUGAAGGUCUUCGGAUCGUAAAGCUCUGUUAGUAGGGAGGCGUUACCUGAUCAUGAAGCCACGGCUAACUACGUGCCAGCCGCCGCGGUAAUAC